UACGUAGGGGGCAAGCGUUGUCCGGAUUUAUUGGGCGUAAAGAGCGUGUAGGCGGCUGGGUAGGUCCGUUGUGAAAACUCGAGGCUCAACCUCGAGACGCCGAUGGAAACCCUCCAGCUAGAGUCCGGAAGAGGAGAGUGGAAUUCCUGGUGUAGCGGUGAAAUGCGCAGAUAUCUGGAGGAACACCGGUGGCGAAGGCGGCAUCCUGGACCGGCAUUGACGCUGAGGCGCGAAAGCCAGGGGAGCAAACGGG
rnacentral:rRNA from 1 species